rnacentral:rRNA from 1 species
UACGUAGGCAGCGAGCGUUGUUCGGAGUUACUGGGCGUAAAGCGUGCGUAGGCGGUGUCUUAAGUUUGUUGUGAAAUCUCCCGGCUUAACCGGGAGGGUGCGGCGAAUACUGAGAUGCUGGAGUGCCGGAGAGGUAAGCGGAAUUCCUGGUGUAGCGGUGAAAUGCGUAGAUAUCAGGAGGAACACCUGCGGUGUAGACGGCUUACUGGACGGUAACUGACGAUGAGGCACGAAAGCGUGGGUAGCAAACAGG